CUUAAGUUGGUUCCAUGUCCCUGACGUGUUACAACUAUUACAUACAUGAUUACCAGUUGUUUUGUUGACAAACAAACUAAAUGAUCCCUGAUUCUCAACUGCUGAAGUCCUCGACUCCCUGCUCGAGAUGGUAGAACAAAAUGGACAUUUCGCUAUUAUAGUUGUGUGACCAUGUUGAAAUUGUAUUUCCUUUUGUUUGAAGUAACUCUCGAUACUUCUGACUAUUUGAGGAAAAAUCUCCUUGCCAGAUGAGGAUAGAAUUGCCAUAUUCAACGGUCUCGUCCAUCUGUAGCAUCGGUUUGAAAAUUGCAGUCGAAAAAGCUUUGAAACUAUAUUCCCACCACGGGAGGCCUCGGCAA